rfam:Schistosoma haematobium scaffold286_27, whole genome shotgun sequence.
UGCUGAGGAGUCCCACAAUAGGACGAAACGGCCGUCCAGUGC